rnacentral:lncRNA from 1 species
AGAAAAUUGGUCUAACUAUAUAAAGAAAAAUUGAACUUCCUAGAAAGGAAGAGGUUUUGCGAUGAGUAUGACAAGAUAAAGAUUCAGGCUUCAAUUAUGAAAAGUUCUGGGCACGGCACGGUGAAGGUAAGCAAACUCAAAAGAAUGAAGAGGAAGCUAAUGUGGGUCAAGAUGAUGACUCAUACUGAUGCAACAUGGAUACAAGCAAGAAGACACAUGUGAGAGGCAUGAGGAACAUUGUCGUUACAAGAAGAGAUGCAAGAACAACUAGGAUAGCAAAUGUAAUGUUAGUUCUUAGCUAAGAAGUUGCCUAUAAAGUUAGCAGCCAGGAAGAUCGGUAUGGCAAGGACACCUAACGGCUCAUCCAAAAGUAUUUAGGUAUUUUGUUUUACCAUACCUGAUGCGAUGCUAGAAGUAAAAUAGAUGAUAUUACUAGGGUAUCAUCCCACAAAUGCAUACAAGUAGUACAAUCCAAGAACUAAAUUGUAGAAAAACAUUAACAUAAAACAGCAUACAAGUAGUACAAUCCAAGAACUAAAUUGUAGAAAAACAUUAGAGGAAAUAAAUUGUUCAUUUUAAACAUAAAACAGCAUACAAGUAGUACAAUCCAAGAACUAAAUUGUAGAAAAACAUUAGAGGAAAUAAAACAGCAGAGAUCCAAUACAAGAAGAAGACAUGAUCCAUGAACUUGUGUGACUUUCAUGACUUUAACCAAACCAAUUAGAGGUUAACAAUGGUGGGCUUA